UUGUUAGCCCAAGUGUCAGAACACGCGAUUGUUUGUUUUUUUUUCGACUGGCUCAGGAAUGUUUGUUGUUUCAUUCUGAACACUAAGUUCCUCCGAAGUAGUUUUUUCCUCAACGUGCCUGGAAAUGCAACCAACCGGAUUGACCCGCAGUAAAGACCCGCAGGACGGCGAUUGCGAAAGAUGCCUUCCGGAAGCCUCUUCGGCGCUGCAAAAAGGGACGGUGUACCUGUCGGAACCAGAUUGGUACCUGUCUGACCCGCUGGAACCAGAGUAUGGAACUAGCGAAAAAUAAAAAAAAAUAAACUCCCA